ACUGAUGUAGCUUAAGGAUUAAAGCGUUGCACUGAAAAUGCAAAUAUGGUGAAUGCCCGUUGGUG
rnacentral:tRNA from 1 species